AAGUCGUAACAAGGUUUCCGUAGGUGAACCUGCGGAAGGAUCAUUAAAAGUACGCUGCCGGAUGCUCGACCGCCGCCAGGUGGCCGAGGGUUAUGGCUGUAUAUAUCCACCCAUUGUGAAACUUAACUUAUGCUUCGGCAGCGCCGCUUUGCGGGUAAGGCUGCCAGAGGCCCACAAUUAAACCAUUGAUGAAAUGUCAUGCUGUCUGAUUACUUUGAAAAUAAAUUAAAA
rnacentral:misc_RNA from 1 species